AGAAUCAACGCUGGCGGCGUGCCUAACACAUGCAAGUCGCACGAGAAAGUGGAGCAAUCCACGAGUAAAGUGGCGCACGGGUGAGUAACACGUGAAUGAUCUACCUCCGAGUGGGGAAUAACUGAGAGAAAUCUUAGCUAAUACUGCAUAACACUUACGAGUCAAAGCAGCAAUGCGCUUGGAGAGGAGUUCGCGGCCGAUUAGCUAGUUGGCGGGUAAUGGCCCACCAAGGCGAUGAUCGGUA
rnacentral:rRNA from 1 species